rnacentral:lncRNA from 1 species
UAAUAUGGCAAAGAUGAAAAACAGCUCCACUUUAAAAGCAAUGAGCAGUAACACAUAAUAUCAAUAAAGUUGCCACAACUUGAACAUAAACAUGUUACAAAGUAAUCUAAUAUUCAAUAACCAAAUAUGUCAAAUAUGUUACACAAUCACCACUUAACAAGCAAAACUAGAAAGUCAUUAACUAGUGCAAGAGGGUAAAAUUUGUGCAUUCUCAAAAGAAACUUGAAACUCAAAUAUUACCAAGUCUUAUAGCCACUGAAAAACAAACUUAACACUACAUUUUUAAUCAAUAAGAAUGUUACUCCUAUAGCAUCAGCCGCACAGCGGAGAUGCUGAGAUUGGUCUUGAGAUUGUUUAACUCCUAAAAGAUCAUCACACUUCAACAUUGUUACUGUGCCGCACAAGGUGUUCCUUGGUUAUCAGGUAACCUGCAAAUUCAAAC